rnacentral:rRNA from 1 species
AACGAACGCUGGCGGCAUGCCUAAUACAUGCAAGUCGAACGAGACAUUCGGGUAUAGUGGCGAACGGGUGCGUCACGCGUGGGAACCUGCCCUUAGGUUCGGAAUAACUUCCCGAAAGGGGUGCUAAUAGCGGAUAAAGUCUUCGGACCAAAGAUUUAUCGCCUUUGGAUGGGUCCGCGUUGGAUUAGCUAGUUGGUAGGGUAAAAGCCUACCAAGGUGACGAUCCAUAGCUGGUCUGAGAGGAUGAUCAGCCACACUGGGACUGAGACACGGCCCAGACUCCUGCGGGAGGCAGCAGUUGGGAAUAUUGAACGAUGGGCGAGAGCCUGAUCCAGCAAUGCCGCGUGAGUGAUGAAGGCCUUAGGAUUGUAAAGCUCUUUUACCCGGUAUGAUAAUGACAGUACCGGGAGAAUAAGCUCCGGCUAACUCCGUG